AAUUUUUAUGCUGCUUGAUCAGAGGUUGGUUGUAAUUUUCCUCCCUGCUGAAUUCACAACUACAAGAAAGUGUUUCUUAAGAGAAGCCCUUGAUAUUCUAGAAUGUAGAAUGUUGUUGGCUAUGGCUUUCCGUGGCUCCCACUGUUCUCUCAAGGUUCAUAUCAGUGAAGAAAAAGCAUUCAGAAUGGAAAACACUAUUGUUCUGACACAGGACAGACAAAAUCCACCGAACUUUCCUUGCAUGGGAUUAGAACACAGUGGACAGGAGAUACAGUCAGCAUAGUCAAUUAAAUGCUCCCCCUUCGUAUCCAAUGGACAAAUGUUUACCCAUCUGGUUUGGCUUAUUAGCCAUGCUUGCUUAGACUGCUUACCCAGUUCCCAAGCUGUGAAAAAUAGACUUUUUUCUUAGCAAGGGAUGAAGUCGUGGAACAACAUCUUACUUUUGCUCACUGUUUCCCCGUUCCUACAAGGUCCUGAGUUCAACUACCAGCAAAAUCAUAGUGGCAUAAAACCAUGUAUAAUGGCAUUAAACUUCCACUUCUGUUGUGUCUGAGAGUUACAGAUACUCAUUGAAAACAAAUAAAAUAAAACUUUAAAUAAAAAAAUAAAA